GCAGCCUGCAACUCGGCUGCAUGAAGCUGGAAUCGCUAGUAAUCGCGGAUCAGAACGCCGCGGUGAAUGCGUUCCCGGGUCUUGUACACACCGCCCGUCACACCAUGGGAGCCGGAAACGCCCGAAGCCAGCGGCCUAACCGCAAGGAGGGAGCUGUCGAAGGCGGGGCCGGUGACCGGGGUGAAGUCGUAACAAGGUAUC
rnacentral:rRNA from 1 species